GCCGAGGUGGCGGAAUUGGUAGACGCACUAGUUUCAGGGACUAGCGCUUCACGGCGUGUGGGUUCAAGUCCCAUCCUCGGCA
rnacentral:tRNA from 1 species